ensembl:lncRNA
AUCCUGGUCAGGGUCACAGUGGAGCUGAAGCUUAUCCCAGGAACACUGGCUGUGAGGCAGGAAUAACACCGGAUAGGAUGCAGUCUAUCCAAGAACACCAUGAACACACACAUUCACACCUACAGAUUGAAAGUUGUCAGAACAAACAGUGCAUUGCAGCUUGCUGCAUAUCUGGCUGCGUAGCCGCUACCGAAAGCAGCAUGUGGACGGCCGGGUGUGUGUGCGUUGCUUAAUCGGGGAAGAGAUGGCACCAGGAUGCACCAUGGGAAGAAGGCAAGCCAGAGGAGGCAGCGUGAUGCUCUGGGUAAUGUUCUGC